GGGAGGUAUGUGACCCUGGUGGGCACCAUGGACUUCAAACCCAUUGUUCGGGCAGGUGUCUGUUCGAAGGAAGGUUCAAUUCCUUCACCUUCUCGCCA
rnacentral:tRNA from 1 species